rnacentral:rRNA from 1 species
UAACACGUGAGUAACCUGCCUUUCAGAGGGGGAUAACAGUUGGAAACGACUGCUAAUACCGCAUAACGCUGCGAUGGGGCAUCCCGAUGCAGCCAAAGGAGCAAUCCGCUGGAAGAUGGGCUCGCGGCCGAUUAGCUAGUUGGUGGGGCAACGGCCCACCAAGGCGACGAUCGGUAGCCGGACUGAGAGGUUGAUCGGCCACAUUGGGACUGAGACACGGCCCAGACUCCUACGGGAGGCAGCAG